UCCUGGAAAUGCGCCACCGCUUGGGUUUCGCAGCCCUACUCCUCCGAGGAAUCCAUAGGUUUUUUUUAACUGUGGGAAACUGGGACACUUUGCCCGAGACUGCCGUUUUCCCAAAGCUGGGGGAAAUGCAAAUUUGAGGGCUCAAACCUCUGGUCAGGGCACCGGACAAAAAUUUGUUCAUCGCAAAUUUCUGAAUACCAAGACGGGGCAAGCUCAGUAUAUGAAUGUGGAGGAGAUUCCGGAAGGUGAACCUAUUCUGGCAGGUAUGUACCUUGUCAAUGAUUAUCCUGUCAUGAUUUUAUUUGAUUUGGAUGCAUCACAUACUUUUAUAAGUAGAGAGUUUGUUAAGCAACACCAACUAGAAGUGCACACCUUAAAUGUCAAAUACGCUAUUCAAGCUACUGGAGCUACUCAAAAUACAAAUUAGGUAGCUCGUAAUGUGACUUUGAAUUUAGAAGGGAAUAAGGUGGGUGCUUAUCCUUUAAUUCUGGAAGAUCAGGGAAUAGAUAUUAUUUUGGGGGUAAAUUGGAUGAAGGAACAUAAAGUUCAAAUCGAUAUGGAUAACCGGGUUGUUAGUAUGAGAGGUGACCAAGGCCAUCCUUUUGAGCUCCAAUUAUCCGCUCAUCCUUGUCUGGACCAGCUGGUCAAAAAGACUAGAGCAGUGACUCUAGAAUCUAUUCCCGUGGUUAAUGAGUUUGUAGAUGUGUUUCCAGAAGAUCUUCCUGGACUACCGCCUGAUAGAGCGGUAGAAUUUACUAUUGAGUUAGAACCUGGCACUGCUCCUAUCUCGAGAAGGCCAUAUCGGAUGCCGCCUAAGGAGUUAGCAGAAUUAAAAGUCCAACUCCAAGAAUUGCUAGACAAAGGUUUUGUCCGACCUAGCACUUCACCAUGGGGCUGCCCUGCUCUAUUUGUUAAAAAGAAAGAUGGCACAUUAAGGUUGUGUGUGGAUUACCGCCCUUUGAAUGCGGUAACCAUUAAAAACAAGUAUCCGUUGCCACGGAUUGACUUGUUAUUUGAUCAACUAGCUAGAGCUAAGGUCUUUUCAAAAAUCGAUCUUCGGUCAGGAUAUCAUCAGAUUAAGAUAAAGCCCAAAGACAUACCUAAAAUAGCCUUCUCAACCCGAUAUGGAUUGUAUGAGUACUUAUUUAUGUCUUUCGGACUGACAAAUGCCCCAGCGCAUUUUAUGUACCUCAUGAAUUCGGUGUUCAUGCCGGAAUUAGAUAAAUUUGUGGUCGUCUUUAUAGAUGAUAUCCUAGUCUUCUCUAAAAAUGAAGAGGAACAUGCGCAACACCUGCGUAUUGUUCUAAAUAGACUCCAGGAACACCAGUUAUAUGCCAAGUUCAGCAAAUGUAAAUUCUGGUUAAAGAAAGUUCCAUUCCUUGGGCACAUACUGUCCGAAAGGGGAAUUGAAGUAGAUCCCGAAAAAGUCAAAGACAUAUUGGAUUGGAAAUCACCAACCUCUAUUCAUGAAGUAAGAAGUUUCUUGGGAAUGGUCGGGUAUUACCGUAGGUUCAUUCGUAACUUCUCAAAAAUUUCCAAGCCAAUCACGGAAUUGUUAAAGAAAGAAGUGAAAUUCGGGUGGAAUCCCGAAUGUGAAGAAUCGUUUCAAACCCUAAAGAAGCUACUGACUACAGCUCCAGUGCUAGCUCAACCUGAUUUAGAGAAGCCCUUUGACGUGUAUUGUGACGCCUCAGGGACAGGGAUAGGAUGUGUUCUUAUGCAAGAAGGCAGAGUUAUUACUUAUGCUUCUCGUCAACUGAAGCAUCAUGAAGAGCAUUACCCUACCCAUGAUUUAGAGCUUGCUGCGAUAGUCCAUGCAUUAAAGAUAUGGCGGCACUAUCUUUUAGGUAGUGAAUGUCGUAUCUUUACUGACCACAAAAGCUUAAAGUACAUUUUCACUCAAAUGGACUUGAACAUGAGGCAGAGACGGUGGCUGGAACUAAUUAAAAAUUAUAAGCUAGAAAUCCACUACCAUCCUGGUAAGGCCAAUGUGGUGGCCGAUGCUUUGAGCAGAAAGGCCCAAUGCCACUGUACUACUGUUCAGUCUAACCUUAAGACCCUAUGUGAAGAAUUAGAAGAUUUAAGCUCGGUAAUAGUAAAAACAAGGUGCCCUCCAGAACAUUAUUGUGCAAGACACCCUAAAGGAAAGAAUUAUAAUAGCCCAAAAAGAAGAUCCUUGGAUCAAGGUGCUUUAUCAACAAAGGACAGAAGGAAAGAUUCCCGAACUCACUCAAGAAGAUGAUGGGGGACUAUAUUUCAAGAAAAGGAUAGUAGUUCCUCAGGAUGAAAAACCUAAGAAAAUUGAUCUUGGAUGAAGCACAUCUAUCUAAGUUUGCCAUUCAUCCCGAAAGUAACAAAAUGUACCAAGAUUUGAAACAAAGAUUUUGGUGGGCCAAGAUGAAACCUGAAAUUGCAGAAUAUGUAGCCGAAUGUGAUACCUGCCGGAGAGUUAAACCAAUCCUACAAAAGUUGGCGGGUUUACUUCAAGCUUCGGAAAUCCCUACCUGGAAAUGGGAGGAUGUUUCCAUGGACUUCAUAGUUGGGUUGCCUACUACUUCGAAAGGAUAUGAUUCCAUCUGGGUUAUUGUCGACCGUCUUACUAAGUCAGCCCAUUUCAUCCCCGUCAAGACUACAUAUCCAGUGUUGACAUAUGCAAAGAUCUAUAUAGCCCGGAUCGUAUCUUUGCACGGAGUACCAAGGACAAUUAUCUCCGAUCGAGGUUCCCAGUUUGUUUCCAGGUUUUGGGAACAACUACAAAAAGACAUGGGAACUACUCUAAUCAGAAGUUCAGCCUAUCAUACUCAAACCGGAGGACAGACGGAGAGAGUCAACCAAAUCUUGGAAGACAUGUUAAGAGUUUGUGUUCUUACCUUCUCUAAGCUAUGGGAUGAAUGUUUGCCCCUAGCCGAGUUCUCCUAUAAUAAUAGCUAUCAAGCUAGUAUUAAAAUGGCACCUUUCGAAGCCUUGUAUGGUCGAAAAUGCCGAACCCCCUUGAAUUGGUCGGAAGUAGGAGAAAGAACACAUUUGGGAUCAGAUUUGGUUAUGGAAACCGAAGAAAAGGUCCGGAAAAUUCGUAAACAUUUGGAAAUAGCCCAGUCUCGACGGAAGAGUUAUUCAGAUAAAAGGAGACGGUCUUUAGAAUUUCAUGUCGGAGAUUUUGUAUACUUGAAAGUAUCCCCGAUGAAAGGAGUACAACGUUUUGGAAUAAAGGGUAAAUUAGCCCCAAGGUAUAUUGGUCCUUAUGAAAUUCUGGAAUGAAAGGGUCCGGUAGCAUACAAGCUAUCGUUACCAGACCAACUUACUUCUAUACAUGAUGUAUUUCAUGUAUCCAAGCUCAAGAAGUGCUUAAGAGUUCCAGAAGAGAUUCUAGAAGAUCCAGAAAUUGAGCUCGAACCAGACCUAACCUACGAAGAAAGGCCUAUUAAAAUUCUGGAUCAAAAGACAAGAGAUACCCGAACUCGGAGUAUUACGUUUUACAAGGUACAAUGGAAGAAUCAUACUCCAAAUGAAGCUACUUGGGAACAGGCUGAAGACCUAGAGUCUAAAUAUCCUGAGCUAUUUGAAACCGUUAGGAUCAAAUGAACAGAAGCCACCACCCCACUUUCCUUGUUCAGAAAAGAGAGAUAUUUGACCUGAUGUAGUUUCCUUUCCAUUGUCAAAGCCAAGAAUUUAACCCCUGGAAUCUCGGGACGAGAUUCUGUUAAGAGGGAGAGGCUGUAACACCUGCCAUUUUAGUCAUCAAAACAAUUCAGAAGAAGUAAAGGUAAAUCAUGAAGAAAAGGAGAAGAAAUUGGCUAAAAAUCAAAUUCGGGUCAAAUUUGACCGAAAUUUGAUUUUUGAAUUCGAAAUUCAGAAAAAUUUGGCAAAAAUAUGGAAUGAAAGGAUAAGAGUGUUUAGAACUUGGAGAUCAAGAUUGGGAACAAAAUCUGGACCUAAAUAUUUCAAGAAAACCAAAAGAAGAAAUCAAAAUAGAAGAGCACUAUUCACCGUCCGACAAUAGGAUUUCAGAAAAACAGCAUAAGAGCCCAUUUUGGAAUUUGAUUUCUGCCAAAUUUUCCAAAUAAGUGGACUAAGGCAACUGUACAGUGAUGAAGUAUGGACUUUGGACCAGCAUAUUGGGGUGUUGUUGAUCAAGAACCACCAAGGGAACCAAUUUAAUUUGAGGCCUAAAGUUGGCACUCUGCCAUUUUCGGCCGAGUCACUGAAACAUCAAAAUUACCUAAGUCUGAAACAGUGAGAAAUGGCUGAGUUUGGAAUAAAUUUCAGAAAAAUAUAGUGUAAAGGGUAUAGGUGUUUAUGGGCAAAAUGGAAUCUUUGAAAGUUGUAGAACACGAAUGGAUGGAAGUUGGACUGAAAAGAAUGAGUUUGGUGCACUGAAAGUGAAUUAACAGAUGGGUACAUGGCCAUAUCAAAUGACUGACGAACUGAACUUCAAGUUCAGAGUGAUUCAGUUAAAUGGGGAAAAGAAUUCAAAAUUCGACUAUGUUAGGAUGUUUAUCUCGAGUCAGAGCAAAAAUAAAACUUGGAGAGUUCAAGUUUAUCUACAACAUUGCUUAAAGGACCGUGGAGCCGUCGGAUUCAAAAUCGACCGUGAUUUGGACCUGAACUUUCGAGCGUCAGAAACAAAGGAAGGGAGGGUGACAGAGCUGAGCACGACGUGUCACCGCCGGCGUUUUCGGUCGACCGCCAGCACAGCAGCUACGCCACCUCCUUACCACGCAAGCCUACGAGUAGGCCACGGUGUCGUUCAUGCGCCGGUGAAACUUUUGUGUAACUACCGCUCCCGCCGCCGCUCUUUUACCGCCCGUUCUUUUUACCGCCGCCGACCAAAAAUUCCACUGCUACACCUCAUCUCCCGUCGAUUCCUCUCGCCCACUCCUCCGCAGGUACCCCAGCUACACCCCAGUCAACUUGUUGCCCAGCAUCCUUGCCGGAGUACCCGUACUCGCCGUCAUUUCCGUCCGCCACCGCCGCACCUCCUGCUCACGGUGAGCACCUUCCUGCCGUUGUUCUUUUUCCUUAUGGGUAGUCGUAGGUGAGUCCUCGGGGCACUAGGAAGCCGUAGAAGUAGUCGUUGGGGUAGGCCGAGCCGUCGUCGUGCUUAGCCACGACCGGCCGUAGGCGCCGUCCGCCGCCGUGGAGGGAAUGGCUCCAGCCAUCUCCCGCGGAGUUACCGCCGCGCACGGGUGCGCUAGGGCAUGGGGAUGCUUCCCCGGCCUAGCCCCAUCGCCGGUGGGGCGCCGGCCGGCGAGCCGCACCGCCCCCUGUUGCGCUCGGGUUUUGGCGGAAGGAGGAAGAAGGCUCUGGUGCUGCGGGCCCGCGCGUCAGAGAGGAGAGGAGAGGGAGGAGGCAGGCCGGACGAUGGCUUAAGUGGACCGAGGGUCCAGUCGGCCCAAGUAUCGGUGCGGGGAGGGGCCGUUGGAGGAAAAAGGCCGGAGGCUGUGAAGUCCAACAGGCCGGUAGGCCGGUAAGGCGGGCCAGCAGCUGCGCGAGAGAAGAAAAAGGAAGGGUGGGCCGUUGGGCCGCUGCCGGGUGGAGAAAGGAAAAAGAAAAAGAAAACGGCCCAGUAGGCCCAGUAGAGGUAUAAGAGGCCGGCGGGUAGGACGAAUACGAGAAGGGGGUGGUCCGAGCCGCGGGCCCAGCAUAAGAGAGAGGCGGUAGAGUUAGGGUGCGUGAGAAAAGUAGGCCGGGGAGUUUUCCGGGAAAAAUUUAGAUUUCCUUUGUAGAAUAAAUAGAUUAAAUCCAAAUCUCACCAUUUAAAUCACAGAAAUUUCUAGGGGUGUCCAAAAUUAGUGAAACCAAUUUUGUUAGGCUUAUUUUAUUUUACUUUAUACAUUAAAAUUUUUAUACCCUAGGAAAAAUAAUAAAAAUUUGGGUAUUUAUUUAAUGCCUUUCUUUUAAGGUAUUUAAAUAAAUACUUAAUCUUUAGCAAAUGCAUAAAAUAUGGAAUAACAUUUCAUAAUCACAAAUUAUUGUUAACUCAUAGGAAAUUAGGUUUUAAGGCUAGAAAAUAAUUAUAACAUUUUAUAAAAAGAAAAGAAAAGGCCCUAGGUAAGGUUAGUAAAGGAAAUAAAAUUGUUAGGCUAAUCUUUUCGGGUUUUUGUGUGUUGGCUUGCAACUUUAUCAUGAUAAAUUGUAUAGUCCUUGUUGGCUUGCAACUUUAUCAUGAAGGGAAGUUGUAUAGUCUUGUAUUCAAAAAGUUGCAUUCUUAACCCCUGCAUAUGCUUUGUCAUAGACACCGAAGCACCGGAAAGGG
rnacentral:lncRNA from 1 species